UCCCUAAGUCCUAAUGGAGUGGAUACUGAAGUAGCUAAAAUGCUUAUGGGAGAGACAGAAGUUAAGUGGCUUCCACGGGGUGUACCUGUAUCAAUUCCAGAAAAUUGUGCAGACCUAACCGUUGGUGGAUCCUCAGACAUAACAGUUGGUAUAACAGGAGUUGAUGAAAGGUUAGUAAUAUCUUGCAAAACAGUAUUGAAUGCAGAACGUAGAGGGACAGAACCAUUAGAGACAGGUGUAUUAGAACGUGGAAUACUUCUGCUAGUAUUGAUUGCCUCAUUCCUCCGCCAUCUUUUAGGUGGGGUGGAAUAGAACUCUAUGUUUUCAUUGUUAGGUGCUGUUUUUUUACUCAUUAUUCCUGUUUGGAACAAUUGCUAGAACUCUCUAAGCAAAAAUAAAUCUGGUGUUAGGAUUUAAA